rnacentral:tRNA from 1 species
GCGUUCAUAGUAAAAUGGAUAUUACGAGGCCCUCCGGAGGCCUAGUUGGGGGUUCGAGUCCUCCUGAGCGCGCCA